CGGCGGACGGGUGAGUAACGCGUGGGUAACCUACCUCAUACAGGGGGAUAACAGUUAGAAAUGACUGCUAAUACCGCAUAAGACCACGGUACCGCAUGGUACAGUGGUAAAAACUCCGGUGGUAUGAGAUGGACCCGCGUCUGAUUAGGUAGUUGGUGGGGUAACGGCCUACCAAGCCGACGAUCAGUAGCCGACCUGAGAGGGUGACCGGCCACAUUGGGACUGAGACACGGCCCAG
rnacentral:rRNA from 1 species